GCACUGCUUAAGAGUCCCAAACAGGACGAAACAGUUGUCCAGUGC
rfam:Echinostoma caproni strain Egypt genome assembly, scaffold: ECPE_scaffold0016065